CCUGCAUCAAGCCCUGCAUCAAGCCCUGCAUCAAGCCCUGCAUCAAGCCCUGCAUCAAGUCCUGCAUCAAGCCCUGCAUCAAGCCCUGCAUCAAGCCUUGCAUCAAGCCCUGCAUCAAGUCCUGCAUCAAGCCCUGCAUCAAGUCCUGCCCACAGUACAUUAAGGAGGAACACUGAAAGGCAGGAGCCCUAGCGGUUAAGAGUGUUGGGCCAGUAACCGAAAGGUCGCUGGCUCGAAUUGUUGUCCAGAGUUGUCCAGGGUCGCCAUCAUUAAUGGCUGAUAUCCCAGGCCUUGACCACACUCUGAGGCUGGGCUAAGGGGGAGUUGUCCAGGGUUGCCAUCAUUAAUGGCUGAUAUCCCAGGCCUUGACCACACACUCUGAGGCUGUGUCUCAGGGGGAGUUGUCCAGGGUCGCCAUCAUUAAUGGCUGAUAUCCCAGGCCUUGACCACACUCUGAGGCUGUGUCUCAGGGGAGUUGUCCAGGGUCGCCAUCAUUAAUGGCUGAUAUCCCAGGCCUUGACCACACUCUGAGGCUGUGUCUCAGGGGGAGUUGUCCAGGGUCGCCAUCAUUAAUGGCUGAUAUCCCAGGCCUUGACCACACACUCUGAGGCUGUGUCUCAGGGGGAGUUGUCCAGGGUCACCAUCAUUAAUGGCUGAUAUCCCAGGCCUUGACCACUCUCCGAGGCUGUGUCUCAGGGGGAGUUGGGAUGUGCAAAAAAUAAAUUUCCAAUUCACAUGUGUAAUAAUACAGUCUUGUACAUGUGUGAAAUAGAAUAAAUAAACCCCCACCUAAUUAUUCUUAUUAAUAAGAUUGAAGAGCAACGGCACUUUGGUACACAGUCAAUAGGUUACAUAGCUGAGGGGAUGGAUACGAAGCAGAACAGUAGCUCUCUGCUUCCCCUCCUAUCAGAGAGAAUAAAUCAUUCCAACCACACUGAUAACAGAAAGCCUGUGGUCUUGCUCUCUGGUUUCAAACAAACCCCUCCAGUAUUCACAUAACGGACAGCUUUCUUCCAAAAUGAUAAUACACACAGAAAGUCCAGUUGUAUAAACUCUACUCUGAAUGUUUUGUAUUUUUAUAUAAAGGCCCAGUGCAGUCAAAAACGUGAAUUUCCUGUGUUUUACCAUCCAGUUUAAUAGGUACAACACCAUGUUCACAAAAGUGGAUCACAACGGCAGCAGACACAACGGGCAGCAGACACAAGGGGCAGCAGACACAACGGCAGCAGACACAACGGGCAGCAGACACAAGGGGCAGCAGACACAACGGCAGCAGACACAACGGGCAGCAGACACAACGGCAGCAGACACAACGGGCAGCAGACACAACGGCAGCAGACACAACGGGCAGCAGACACAAGGGGCAGCAGACACAACGGCAGCAGACACAACGGGCAGCAGACACAACGGGCAGCAGACACAACGGGCAGCAGACACAACGGGCAGCAGACACAACGGCAGCAGACACAACGGGCAGCAGACACAAGGGGCAGCAGACACAACGGCAGCAGACACAACGGGCAGCAGACACAACGGGCAGCAGACACAACGGGCAGCAGACACAACGGGCAGCAGACACAACGGCAGCAGACACAAGGGGCAGCAGACACAACGGGCAGCAGACACAACGGGCAGCAGACACAACGGCAGCAGACACAACGGGCAGCAGACACAACGGCAGCAGACACAACGGGCAGCAGACACAACGGGCAGCAGACACAACGGCAGCAGACACAAGGGGCAGCAGACACAACGGGCAGCAGACACAACGGCAGCAGACACAAGGGGCAGCAGACACAACGGCAGCAGACACAACGGGCAGCAGACACAACGGGCAGCAGACACAACGGGCAGCAGACACACGGGCAGCAGACACAACGGGCAGCAGACAACGGGCAGCAGACAACGGGCAGCAGACACAACGGGCAGCAGACACAAGGG
ensembl:lncRNA